UGAGGAAUAUUGGACAAUGGGUGAGAGCCUGAUCCAGCCAUCCCGCGUGAAGGAUUAAGGUCCUACGGAUUGUAAACUUCUUUUGUACAGGAAUAAACCUAUUUACGUGUAAAUAGCUGAAGGUACUGUACGAAUAAGCACCGGCUAACUCCGUGCCAGCAGCCGCGGUAAUACGGAGGGUGCAAGCGUUAUCCGGAUUUAUUGGGUUUAAAGGGUCCGCAGGCGGACUGAUAAGUCAGUGGUGAAAUCUCAUAGCUUAACUAUGAAACUGCCAUUGAUACUGUUGGUCUUGAGUAAAUUUGAGGUAGCUGGAAUAAGUAGUGUAGCGGUGAAAUGCAUAGAUAUUACUUAGAACACCAAUUGCGAAGGCAGGUUACCAAAAUUUAACUGACGCUGAGGGACGAAAGCGUGGGUAGCGAACA
rnacentral:rRNA from 1 species